rnacentral:tRNA from 1 species
GGCUCGGUAGAUUAGUUGGAAAUAAAGCACUUGUCUAGCGAAUAAGGGUCGUGAGUUCAAAUCUCAUCUGAGCUG